rnacentral:rRNA from 1 species
UCCGUAGGGUGAACCUGCGGAGGGAUCAUUACACAAUACAAUAUGAAGGCUGUCCGCAGCUGGAGUAUUUUAUUACCCUUGUCUUUUGCGCACUUGUUGUUUCCUGGGCGGGUUCGCUCGCCACCAGGACCACCAAAUAAACCUUUUUUAUGCAGUUGCAAUCAGCGUCAGUACAAACAAUGUAAAUCAUUUACAACUUUCAACAACGGAUCUCUUGGUUCUGGCAUCGAUGAAGAACGCAGCGAAAUGCGAUACGUAGUGUGAAUUGCAGAAUUCAGUGAAUCAUCGAAUCUUUGAACGCACAUUGCGCCCUUUGGUAUUCCAAAGGGCAUGCCUGUUCGAGCGUCAUUUGUACCCUCAAGCUUUGCUUGGUGUUGGGCGUUUUUUGUCUUUGGUCGCCCAAAGACUCGCCUUAAAGUGAUUGGCAGCCGGCCUUUCUGGUUUCGCAGCGCAGCACAUUUUUGCGCUUGCCAUCAGCAAAACGGCAAUCCAUCAAGCCUCCUUCUCACGUUGACCUCGGAUCAGGUAGG